GACGAACGCUGGCGGCGUGCUUAACACAUGCAAGUCGAACGGUGAAGCGCCUUCCUUUUUGGUGGGUGUGGAUGAGUGGCGAACGGGUGAGUAACACGUGAGUAACCUGCCCCCUUCUUCUGGAUAACCGCAUGAAAGUGUGGCUAAUACGGGAUAUUCUGGUUCUGUCGCAUGAUGGGUCUGGGAAAGAUAUUGUUUCGGUGGGGGAUGGGCUCGCGGCCUAUCAGCUUGUUGGUGGGGUGAUGGCCUACCAAGGCGGUGACGGGUAGCCGGCCUGAGAGGGUGGACGGUCACACUGGGACUGAGACACGGCCCAGACUCCUACGGGAGGCAGCAGUGGGGAAUAUUGCACAAUGGGCGCAAGCCUGAUGCAGCGACGCCGCGUGAGGGAUGGAGGCCUUCGGGUUGUGAACCUCUUUCGCCAGUGAAGCAGGCCUGCCUCGUUUGUGGGUGGGUUGACGGUAGCUGGAUAAGAAGCGCCGGCUAACUACGU
rnacentral:rRNA from 1 species